UACGCAGGAUCUGAGCGUUGUCCGGAAUUACUGGGUGUAAAGGGCGUGUAGGUGGGCUUUUGAGUCGGUGGUGAAAUCCUGCAGCUCAACUGUAGAAUUGCCAUCGAUACUGGAAGUCUUGAGUGCGGCAGAGGGAGACGGAAUUCAUGGUGUAGCGGUGAAAUGUGUAGAUAUCAUGAAGAACACCGGUUGCGAAGGCGGUCUCCUGGUCCGUUACUGACACUGAGGCGCGAAAGCGGGGGGAGCAAACAGG
rnacentral:rRNA from 1 species